rnacentral:rRNA from 1 species
AGAGUGUUCAAAGCGGGCAGAUAUUUUUCCUGCCACCGAAUACAUUAGCAUGGGAUAAUGGAAUAGGACCCUGACCUCCUAUUUUCAGUUGGUUUUGUUUACAGCGAGGUUAUAUCAGGGUAAUGAUUAAUAGGGAUAGUUGGGGGCAUUAAUAUUUAAUUGUCAGAGGUGAAAUUCUUGGAUUUAUGAAAGAUUAACUUCUGCGAAAGCGUUUGCCAAGGAUGUUUUCAUUAAUCAAGAACGAAAGUUAGGGGAUCGAAGACGAUCAGAUACCGUCGUAGUCUUAACCAUAAACGAUGCCGACCAGCGAUUAGGAGACGUUGAAUACAAAACACCGCCGU